UGUCAUUAGCUAGUUGGCGGGGUAACGGCCCACCAAGGCGACGAUGACUAGGGGAUCUGAGAGGAUGACCCCCCACACUGGUACUGAGACACGGACCAGACUCCUACGGGAGGCAGCAGUAAGGAAUAUUGGUCAAUGGAGGCAACUCUGAACCAGCCAUGCCGCGUGCAGGAAGACUGCCCUAUGGGUUGUAAACUGCUUUUAUCCGGGAAUAAACCACGAUACGUGUAUUGUGCUGAAUGUACCGGAAGAAUAAGGAUCGGCUAACUCCGUGCCAGCAGCCGCGGUAAUACGGAGGAUCCAAGCGUUAUCCGGAUUUAUUGGGUUUAAAGGGUGCGUAGGCGGCCUAUUAAGUCAGGGGUGAAAGACGGUAGCUCAACUAUCGCAGUGCCUUUGAUACUGAUAGGCUUGAAUGAACUAGAGGUAGGCGGAAUGAGACAAGUAGCGGUGAAAUGCAUAGAUAUGUCUCAGAACACCGAUUGCGAAGGCAGCUUACUAUGGUUUAAUUGACGCUGAGGCACGAAAGCGUGGGGAUCAAACAGGAUUAGAUACCCUGGUAGUCCACGCCCUAAACGAUGAACACUCGCUGUUGGCGAUACACAGUCAGCGGCUAAGCGAAAGCGUUAAGUGUUCCACCUGGGGAGUACGGUCGCAAGAUUGAAACUCAAAGGAAUUGACGGGGGCCCGCACAAGCGGAGGAGCAUGUGGUUUAAUUCGAUGAUACGCGAGGAACCUUACCCGGGCUUGAAAGUUAGUGAAUCAUUUAGAGAUAAAUGAGUGAGCAAUCACACGAAACUAGGUGCUGCAUGGCUGUCGUCAGCUCGUGCCGUGAGGUGUUGGGUUAAGUCCCGCAACGAGCGCAACCCCUAUGUUUAGUUGCCAGCACGUUAAGGUGGGGAAUCUAAACAGACUGCCUGUGCAAACAGAGAGGAAGGAGGGGACGACGUCAAGUCAUCAUGGCCCUUACGUCCGGGGCUACACACGUGCUACAAUGGAUGGUACAGCGGGCAGCUACAUAGCAAUAUGAUGCGAAUCUCACAAAGCCAUUCACAGUUCGGAUUGGGGUCUGCAACUCGACCCCA
rnacentral:rRNA from 1 species